GAAGUAGUAUCUCAGUGGUAGAGCACUUAUCUAGCAUGUAUGAGGUCCUGGGUUCAAUUCCCAGUAUCAUUA
rnacentral:tRNA from 1 species